GAGUCCCGUCCCCGACCGCCCCGUCCCCUCACGGCCCGUGGGGACAGCGACCCCUCGGUGCGGCCGGGAUGGGGCCCGUCAUGUCCCCCGACCGGGUGACAUCGCGGGGCAGGGAUGGAUUUCGGGACCCCCGCUACCCAAACGGUUCUCAGAAGGCUGCGGUGCCGCUGCCUGAGGCGUUCCCCUGGGACUAGGCUCAGCGCUUCCCUGCCGGGUAUGAGGUCGCGUUUCCAGCCUGCAGUAGUCUGGGGAUGUGGCGUCCUCGUCUCCCUGUGCUACCCACCUUACCUGGGACAUGGCACAAAGCAAUUAUGGAAUAAUCAAGGUUGGAAGAGACCUUUAAGAAUAUCAUGUCCAAUGCUCACCCAGUACUGCCACUGUAAGCCCCCAAACCAUCAAAGCACAUCAACCAAUGCCAGAUCCAGACACCUCUUGAACACCUCCAGGGAUGGUGGCUCCACCCAUUCCAAUGCAUGGCCACCUUAGCAGGGAAAAAUCUCUCUCAAGUAUCUUACCAGAAUCUCUCAGCUUAAGGCAAAUUCCUCUUGUCCUCUCACUGCAGGCAAGGCAGAAGAGACCGGCCCUCACCUCGUUUCAGGUGGUUGUGGAGAGCAAUGAGGUGCCCCCUGAGGCUCCUCGAGACUAAACAACCCAUAUAAAUAACUUGGGACAUGCUGUGUUGAGGGCACAGAGCCCUGUCAGUCACAUCCAGCUCAGUUACUGGGGAGCUCGACUCCAGAAGGUCACAGAGCUGCCUGCCAGCACACCUGCCACUGCACUGAGAGCAGGCAGACUUUAAAUAACCCUUUUUGUCCCUUUCCUGUCCACCUGUCAUGGAAGAGCUCAGUGCAGCUCCACAGCUACAACUCGCCCGUGUUUGCUCUUAAAGGAAUAGCCGAGUCACUCUCUUCUAACAAAAGCAGCAGCACAUCAUUCACAGCUGAGUGUCAGGAUACAGAUCAGGUUAAGAAACAAGUACGGUUUUGAUGGAGUAGGAAUUUGCUGUCUGUAUUUGCUUCCCCAAUCAUACAACAUUAGCACAGCCUUCCUGCUCAAUUCCUGUUUUGCCUCUUCAUGUUGCUCUUCUAGUGGACCUACUCAAUGAGGCCUGGAUUAGUCCUGCCUCUUCAGAAAUCUUGGCUAUACUUUUCUGAAUCCUGCUUCCACCUGUUGUUUCCAAAUCCCCAUUGUUUUUCCUUUUGUAUUCCCAGCUGUCACUUCCCACCAGCUAUGUCCUCGCUUCCACUGCCACCCACAAGGGCUGCCACAUGAGCAAGGUUUGUAUUGUGCUUCCCUGUGCAAGCAGCAGGAGAGAGGAGCUUCCAUCCCUUACUCUGGUUUCACCUACAGCAAUUGUAACCGCUGGGCAUAAAAGGUGAGUAAAGCACCACAACUUUAUGACUGCAAGAUUAUGAAAUCCUUCCCAAGGAGAGGGAUGUCUCAAGGCCCUUCUGAAGCCCAUCAUAGUGAGACGACUCUUUCCUUAUUCUGUCUGCAUCUCCCAAGAUUGAUUAAUAUGGAUAAUCUUCCAUUUCAGACAAGGUAAAUUCAUGUGUGGAGCUUGGUUUUCUUCCUUCUGUUUCAUUUGGGUGUCUUGAUUAUGUAGUUGUAUCUGCUUGGGUUUUUUUCCUCUUUUCUCACCUGUAAUUUACUAUAUUGUCUUUCUCUAGAUUAGUCUUUGAAAGUCUACAAUUUGAAAUAAAGAUGGCAAGUUUGAAAACUAGUUUCAAGCAGGUAGAAGUGGCACCUGUCAGUUCCCUACUAGAACCUCUUGUUUAGUCUAUAAAUUACCAGGUAUUCCUGAUGUACACAAUUAUGCUGAUACACUGAUGUAUCUAAAACUAAGUAAUCAUGAAUUUUAACUGCUGUACUUUAAAAAUAAUUUUAAAAAUCCAAUAUCUGUUUUGACUACCAUAAAACUAUUAUCAACAUAAAAGGGUAUAUUGAUUAUAUAUAAAUAUUUUAAAUAAUACAAUGUGUAAAUAUUAAAUUAGUUUAAUAUCCCUGAGACAGUAACAAAAGAACCCCCAAAAAAUGUUUAUUGAUUAAUAUUCAGUUAUCUCUCUUCAAAUCUUUCUAAUGUUUUCAUGACCUGUAACUAACCUCUAAAGCAGUUUUAGUCCUUGAAUAACUGCUGAGGGUUUAAAUGUACAGUUAUAACUGCACAUUUUCUUCAAGAAUUGACUAAACAGUCAAUUUUCUUUCUUUGUAAAGGAAAUCUCAUAUCUGCUCCUUGAAUUUAAAGUUCAGAUCUCAAGUGUUUCUUUCCUUAGUUAGAUAUGUUACUACAAGACAGAGACAUAACUGGUAAUCAUGCUUAUUUUUUCUGGAAUGUCAAGUCAGCUGUAAGUUUUAAACUUGAACCCCCAAUCUGGCAGAUGAAAUCAGAAAAUGUGCUAAAAUCCUCUCUAAUAUAAUGCAGUGAUGUGUGAAAAAAAGAAUACAUCUUCCCCUAAGUAUUUCUGCAAGGCAAAAUGGGCAUAUAUAUAUAUAUAUAUAUAUAUGAUCAUGCAAGUAAGUCAGUGUAAUUAAUAGCAACUCAUGGUUUCACAGCCUUCCAUCCCAAAGAAUUGUAAAUUAUAGUAGCAAAAUAUAAAUCAAGGAUCAUUUUACCAUUGCUGAAAUGCAACCAACUGCUUAACAAUUGUGCAUCUAUGCUGAGAGCCUGGUUUUCCACAAAGAACUUGCAGGCUUGGGCUCUAUAGUGAGAACAAAGAUUCCACCUUAAAGUGCAAGAUAAAUUUUUAGAGUAUAUGAAAGCUUUCAAGUUACUGAGUACACCUGUGAGUUGAAGGCACAUUUCAAGAAUACACAAGCUUGUACCUGAUAGCAAAGCCUGACUGGCACAUCAGGGCUUGCUGGGAGCCACAGGCAGAGACACAGGGCUGGUUUGCUGUGUGUGAUCAGUCUGACAGCCCCCAGGAACUGCUGAGCCUCCUCGGCACUACACACACAGUUUGGCACACACAUUAACCAGUCAAAUACCAGCUCCAACUGUUUAUUCAUCUCCACUAGUCACAGACCUUCCCAGUCAAGCAUUCAUGUUAGAACUGAAGGGUGAGAUAAUGACAGAAGAAUCUUCCACAUGUCCUCAAAGUUGUUGCAGUUUAAACCUUCAGAUGAAAAUAUUUCAGGGCUGGUAAUUGCCUUGAAGCAGGACAGCAGUUCAGUAACACAGACAACAGGCAGUGACUAACAAUAUGUCACUGAAUAAAUCCAGUGAUCCUAUUUGUAUUAGUUGUUAUUUUUAUUUUUUAUGAAAUUUCCAUUAUGAAAUUAUUGCUAAACCUGACUUUUAUUUUAUUCUACACCAACAUCUUUAACUUACCAGAGCACCUGCUUGUAAUCCAUGAAGAGAUGUAUGGUCACAUAACGCCUGUGCUUGUUCCCAGAUACUAGACGCAAAGAGGCAGUCAAAUUACUCUUUAAAAUAUUAAAUUGAAAGACAACAAAACCUUAGACACUUUUGAACAAAAUGCAUAAGCUUUUCAGACAUGUUGAGGACUAGAUAAAACUGUACCUUGUGCUUCUGCUAGGAGAUACACAGAACAUCCUCUCCAUCUUCACCACUCAUAGUGAAACAAAGAGAAACAAAAUUUCUACAGUCAAUUUAUGAAUGUUUGCUUUCCAGGAUUUUAACUCUGGCCAAUUCUUAAAACUCUUAUUUAUCUUCUCCUCAGUCCUACAGCAGGAAAACUUGCUGAAUCCUAGGCAAAGUUGACUAUCACUUCUAGAUUUGGUCCUUUGGGAAUAGCACUAGAGGCAAAAAUUUUACACUGUGCAUAUUUCAUCCAUUGUCUUGUUACCAAGUGGCAGCAGUUUUUGUGGGAAUCAUUAAAAACUUCCCUGGUUAGACCACUAUUGAUAUUUGAACUCUCAGGGGGAGUAACCUCUGUCUCUAUCCAAAAAGUAUCAGAUAAAAAUAAACAUACACAACAUUGCUCAGCAAAGAAUGGGUACAUUAAUUACAAUUCAUUAGUCUGAAGUUGGCAUUACUCAAAAAUUUACAGUGUGUAUUGAGUCCUGUGUAGGAGUAUGGUGACAGGAAAGGUGAGACAAAAGACAGGAAAACAUGUAGGAAUCUGUCAUACACAGUUUUUGCUAUAAUAGUACAUUGUGCACAUUAUUCUUUUCAUCUGAGAAUGUCAAAGCUCAUUUCAAAAAUCUGGUUAAAUGUAAAAUGCUCUGUGAGGAAAGUAAUUCUUUUAUUGGUAGGUCAACUGAAUGCCAGAGUUAUUCGGAGUUAUUGCUCAUUAGAGCCAGAGAUGGAACUCAGGAAUAGAACUGGUCUCCAACUUCAGCUACAUAAAAUCCUGCACAAGUUGCCAACAAUGAUCUCUGGACUGGGAUCAGUACUCGUGUUGGGAACCCUAUGUAUAUACUGAAGAAAGAAGUUACAGAAACGGGCUGUAUGGGUGUGUUUCAUUCUGUUAUUUCUCAGUACCAGACUGUCACUCUGCUACAAGAUAAAGGGAGGCGAUAAAAAGAAAGUGAUCAUUACAAAUCACUUGGCAUUUUCUGUGAGCAGUUAGAACACUCACACUGACAUAUCCAAUUUGUCUAUACAAGAUACUCUGCUUCCCUUCAUCUUCCAUGUGCUUUUGAGAAGGUGAUAAUCUUUCUGCAGUGCAUAAGUUUGUAAAGUUAUCUCUCUGUGCUUGUAUAGUACGUUCCAGGGUUCUUUGUAAUCUCUGUUACACCUGGGAUGAAAAAAAAUCAAAUGAGAUAUUUGCCAUUUAAGAAGUGGCUUUCACAGUAAGUGCUUUUGCUGGUCUAGCUAACCUGGCAAUAUGCAAACUUUCUAAAUGGAGAUAAAUUUAUAUCAGUAAAAGGAGUCCUUGCAAAUGUGUCUUUUCUGCUGCAUUAGCUAACAUGGUAGGAACAUAAUUUUUUUCUCCACUCUUAAAUUCUAUAUCCAUACCCCAGUAAAACUGAGAUGUAUUUAUUGAACAUUCAGUGUUCAUAUAAAUGUUUUAGAAAUUAAAGUGGCAUGCUUGAAAUUAAAUAAAUACAGACAUUUCUGAGGAGUGACCCAGAACUAUCCUGCGAAUUCUGCUUGCUUGCUUUACACAAGCACAAAUCUGAUGGUACCAAGUAGAAUGUAACAAUUUAUUUCUAAAUGUCAUUUUUUGAAACCACACUUUUGCUAAGGAGACACAGUUCUGUUUAGAGGAUUAAUAUCUGUCCACAUUGGUUUCUAAUAUAGCCACUGCCUUUGAACAUAGCAGUUAAAAUUCCAACAACUGUUUGAGAUACUACAGACACAAUAUGAGUUGAUGAAGUGAUAUACAGAACAGAUAACUAAUUUUUAGUCAUGCAUGGUUACUGAAUAUGGGAUUAAUUUAAGGGAUCUCUGUUUUCUUUCAUGCUGUCAGCACUGCAAAGGGUCAGGUACGUUUGAGGAGUGGCACAGCAGAUUGUAGUUUUAUUUCUGAGAUGAGAUGCUGGACGUGCUGCUACGAACUCAGCAGGAACUAGAGGCUGCUGAGACCAAAAGGAGAGAGACACUGCCAGUCACCUUGUUGACAGCAGCAAUCCCCUGCUCAAGGCAGAGACUCCCAGCUGCCACUGAGUUCAGACCACCAUGGCAGCCAGGAUUCAGGAUCCUGAGCCUUACACAGAUGCCUCUUUGGACAAUCCAUGGCACUCGGCCCCGUGCCAGCUCUGCUUGCCAUUCCAACCCUGCCAGCAGUGCCUUUGUGCCCCUGUGGCGGUAACUUGCUGCCACCUGCCACAGAGCUUCCCCCCUGCUCCUUCCUGGUCUGGUUACACUUGACUAAAAUCUUUGUCUUAUUAUUAAUCAUGAAGGAAUGAAUAGGGGAUGAACAAUACCUGUACAGGGCAAGAAACUGCACCCAUAUUUAUAACAAACCCUCAAUUAAUUCUGCAAAGCAUAGUAGAUCAUUAUUUUAAUGGAGAUGGACUAUUUUGAUAAUGUACCAUGUCUUUUGGUGUAACAGGACUUCAGAAGCAAGCUGACAUCUUCUGCUAAGAUAGAAAAAUAGGUUUUCAAAGCAAAAAGGGCACAACAUUUGCAGGGACAUUUGAGAGGGGGGACAGGGAAAUGGAGGUCACAAAUUAGAGAAAAUGCAUGAGUCCAUUACAGAUGGCAAUGGAAAAGAAAUAGGUGGGGGAUUCACACAGCUUGGGGUAACACACAGAGUCCACAUGAGGACCUGAACCCUCAUCAAGCUAUUGAGCACCUGGUGGGAUACAUGGGCAUGGGCUCAACACUGACAGUUGUGGGGACCUCACUUCCCUCAAGUUUUGGUGAAUUUUAAAAUAAUUAAUUUCUAACAAAAAAGAAACACGUAACUGAUCAGAUAUUGUCCGUACUCAAAUAACAAGCACAAAAUGUCAUAAAGCCACUUCAAACUCCAGAUUACAUCCUUUGGUUAAUGCAAAGGCAAUAAAGAGUUCAGUGCCCUGGCCUCAGCCAGACCACAUCUGUCACCUCGGGCUGUUCAGCAGUGCACACGUAGGACUGGAACAAUUAGGGAACAGAAUUAGGUCUUGCUGGUUGUAGAAGCUGGAGAAACAAGUAGGUUCUGCAGUGACAAUUCUUUGAAACAAACCCUUGCUGUUGAAGAGUUUUGUUUGUUGGCUGUGGUUUGCUUUGAAUAAACGAGAAUAUCUGUAAAGUUC